UUGAACGCUGGCGGCAGGCUUAACACAUGCAAGUUCGAGCGGAGAGAGGUAGCUUGCUACUGAUCUUAGCGGCGGACGGGUGAGUAAUACUUAGGAAUCUGGCUAUUAGUGGGGGACAACAUUUCGAAAGGGAUGCUAAUACCGCAUACGUCCUACGGGAGAAAGCAGGGGAUCCUCGGACCUUGCGCUAAUAGAUGAGCCUAAGUCGGAUUAGCUAGUUGGUGGGGUAAAGGCCUACCAAGGCGACGAUCUGUAGCGGGUCUGAGAGGAUGAUCCGCCACACUGGGACUGAGACACGGCCCAGACUCCUACGGGAGGCAGCAGUGGGGAAUAUUGGACAAUGGGGGGAACCCUGAUCCAGCCAUGCCGCGUGUGUGAAGAAGGCCUUAUGGUUGU
rnacentral:rRNA from 1 species